rnacentral:tRNA from 1 species
GCCCGGGUAGCCCAACGGGAGAGGCACCGUUUUCAGGGAACGGCAAGUGCGCGUUCGAAUCGCGCCCCGGGUA